UACAGAGGUCUCAAGCGUUGUCCGGAAUUAUUGGGCGUAAAGAGCUCGUAGGCGGUCUGUCGCGUCUGCUGUGAAAUCUCAGGGCUUAACCCUGAGCUUGCAGUGGGUACGGGCAGACUAGAGUGCGGUAGGGGAGACUGGAAUUCCUGGUGUAGCGGUGAAAUGCGCAGAUAUCAGGAGGAACACCGGUGGCGAAGGCGGGUCUCUGGGCCGUAACUGACGCUGGAGGAGCGAAAGCAUGGGGAGCGAACAGG
rnacentral:rRNA from 1 species